ensembl:snRNA U4 U4 spliceosomal RNA
AGCUUCACGCAGUGACAGUAUUGUAGCCAAUGAGGUUUAUCCAGGAGUGAUUAUUGCUAAUUGAAAACUUUUCCCAAUACCUGGCCGUGACAACUUGCAAUAUAGUUGGCAUUGGCAAUUUUUGACAGUCUCUAUGGAGA